rnacentral:rRNA from 1 species
GACGAACGCUGGCGGCGUGCCUAAUACAUGCAAGUCGAACGAAGCUGUUUUAACUGGUGCUUGCACCGACUUAAACAACUGAGUGGCGAACGGGUGAGUAACACGUGGGUAACCUGCCCCAAAGCGGGGGAUAACAUUUGGAAACAGAUGCUAAUACCGCAUAACCACAGAAACCACAUGGUUUCUGUGUCAAAGAUGGUUUCGGCUAUCACUAUGGGAUGGACCCGCGGCGUAUUAGCUAGUUGGUAAGGUGAUGGCUUACCAAGGCGAUGAUACGUAGCCGAACUGAGAGGUUGAUCGGCCACAUUGGGACUGAGACACGGCCCAAACUCCUACGGGAGGCAGCAGUAGGGAAUCUUCCACAAUGGACGAAAGUCUGAUGGAGCAACGCCGCAUGAGUGAAGAAGGUUUUCGGAUCGUAAAACUCUGUUGUCAGAGAAGAACGUGUGCGAGAGUAACUGCUCGUGCAGUGACGGUAUCUGGCCAGAAAGCCACGGCUAACUACGUGCCAGCAGCCGCCGUAA